rnacentral:rRNA from 1 species
UGGCGGACGGGUGAGUAAUGUCUGGGAAACUGCCUGAUGGAGGGGGAUAACUACUGGAAACGGUAGCUAAUACCGUAUAACGUCGCAAGACCAAAGAGGGGGACCUUAGGGCCUCUUGCCAUCGGAUGUGCCCAGAUGGGAUUAGCUAGUAGGUGGGGUAACGGCUCACCUAGGCGACGAUCCCUAGCUGGUCUGAGAGGACGACCAGCCACACUGGAACUGAGACACGGUCCAG